rnacentral:rRNA from 1 species
CCUACGGGAGGCAGCAGUGAGGAAUAUUGGUCAAUGGGCGAGAGCCUGAACCAGCCAAGUCGCGUGAGGGAGGACGGCCCUACGGGUUGUAAACCUCUUUUGCCGGGGGACAAACGGCGGCACGCGUGCCGUCCUGAGGGUACCCGGAGAAAAAGCAUCGGCUAACUCCGUGCCAGCAGCCGCGGUAAUACGGAGGAUGCGAGCGUUAUCCGGAUUUAUUGGGCGUAAAGCGCUCGUAGGCGGUAUGUCAAGUCAAGGGUGAAAUCCCCGCGCUCAACGUGGGAACUGCCUUUGAAACUGGCAAACUGGAGUGUGUGAGAGGAUAGUGGAAUUCCAGGUGUAGGAGUGAAAUCCGUAGAUAUCUGGAGGAACAUCAGUGGCGAAGGCGACUAUCUGGCACAUAACUGACGCUGAGGAGCGAAAGCGUGGGUAGCAAACAGGAUUAGAUACCCCUGUAGUC